rnacentral:rRNA from 1 species
UACAGAGGGUGCGAGCGUUGUUCGGAAUUAUUGGGCGUAAAGCGCUUGUAGGCGGCUUGUUAAGUUCCGUGUGAAAUCCCCAGGCUUAACCUGGGAAGUGCGCGGAAAACUGGCGAGCUUGAGUGCCGGGAGAGGGUCGCGGAAUUCCCGGUGUAGAGGUGAAAUUCGUAGAUAUCGGGGAGGAACACCAGUGGCGAAGGCGGCGAUCUGGGUGGUUACUGACGCUGAGGUGGCGAAAGCGUGGGGAGCAAACAGG